AUGUUUGAGCUCUUGACGAAGCAAGAUGGGCCCAAAGCUGAGGUGAUCAAGUUGCUCACUCAAGAUGAGGCUGACUGUGAGCCACUGCUGGCUGAAGUGGAUUGUGGACAUGAGUCAUUGCUGGCUGAAGAGGAGGGCGGGUGUGGGUCCCCGCUGGCUGAAGACGAGGACGUAUCUGAGUUGCCAUUGGUUGAAGAGGAGGAUGGAUGUGAGUCACCGCUCACUGACAAGGACUUAUGUGAGUCUCUGCAGGUGGAAGAAGUAGAAGAAGACGACUGUGAGUCGCCCAAGGUGGAAGAGGAAGAAGAAGAGUGUGAGUCGCUGAAGGUAGAAGAGGAGGAUGUAUGUGAGCCAGCGCCUGCUGAAGAAGACGAGUGUGAGUCGCCACAGGCAGAAGGGGAGGCCCCAUGUGAGUUGAAAACACGAAAACAACCCAAGCUGGUCGCCAUUGUUGGAGUUGGAGGAACAGCUCUUGCGAACCAAGUGUAUGAAGAGCUCAGAGUAAAAGAUUUUGACUACUGGCCUUUUAUAUCAAUGUCGCCAAAUCCAGACAUGACAAGUGCCCUGACAGCACUUCUCCUUGAACUUACCGGUGAAUUAAAGAAAGCAGCGAGCGUGCAACAACUGAUUAUUGAUAUCAAUGAAUCGCUACUAGACAAAAGAUACUUAAUUGUCCUUGACGGUAUAUGCCAGAAAGAAACAUGGGAUGUCAUUAAGCAUGCAUUCCCCAUGACAAGCUGUGGCAUAAUAAUCACCACUAGCCCGUGUGAAGAUAUCGCCGAAUUAUGCCGGUCAUGGUUCAAUGGGCAUAUUUACCAUAUAAGACUUCUUGGUAUGGUACAUUCAAGACUGCUAUUUCACCAAAGAUUAUUCAACUCUGAUGACGACUGCCAUCCACACCUUGAAGAAGUUUCUGAUAAAAUAUUGGAAAAAUGUGAUGACUUACCUUUGGCAAUCUUAGUUACAUCUGGUUUGUUGGCUAACACAGAAGGAACAGAGCAUCUAUGGAAUCACAUGGCAGAUUCAAUUGGGUGUGCACUUGAAACAAGUGAUAUAGUCGAAAGGAUGAUGAAGAUUUUGUCACUUCAUUAUUUUGAUCUUCAUCCUCGUGUCAAAACUUGUCUCUUGCACCUCAACAUGUUCCCAAAAGGGUCAACCAUUAAGAUGAAGGACCUGAUAUGGAGAUGGACUGCUGAAGGAUUCUUUCAUGGAGAACAAAGAAAUGCAGCACAUGAGUUAGGAGAGAGGUGUUUUAAUGAGCUCCUGAAUAGGAGUUUGAUCCAACCUGUGAAGAUAGACCAGUAUGGUAAGGUUAAAAGCUGUCAAGUUCAUGAAACAGUUAUGGACUACAUCAUAUCCAAGUCUGUCGAAGAUAACUUUGUUACUGUCGUUGGUGUUCCAUGUCCAACUAUUGAUCGGACACAAAUGAAAGUUCGUCGAUUCUCUCUCCAAGCUACAGAAGAAGGCUAUUCUUUUCCAGGGAUUAACUUGGUAUUGUCUCAUGCCCGAUCACUUAAAGUAUUUGGAUUACUGUGGACAAUCCCUUCUCUAGAUGAGUUCAAGCAUUUGCGUGUUGUGGACUUUGGAGGUUUCAGUAACUUGGGAGACGACCAUCUUGCAAAUAUUGGGAGGUUAUUCCAGCUGAGGUACCUGAACCUCUCUUGGACAAGAGCAUGUGAGCUCCCAGAAGAAAUAGGACAUCUAUCUUGCUUAGAGAUGUUGGACCUAACAGCCACAGGGGUAUCCGAGUUACCAUCAUCUAUAGUUAAUCUAGAAAAAUUGGUUCAUCUAUUAAUCGGCGAGUUUGUUAAAUUUCCGGAAGGAGGAAUUGGGAAGAUGCAAGCACUAGAGACGUUGAAACAAGUCAGAGCCUUUAAGCAGCCAAUUCAAUUUCUUCAAGAUUUUGGCAAGCUACAGAAUCUGUGGAAGCUGAAUAUCGAUCUUACCAAUGAUCAAGAGGACACUGAAGAUACAAAGGAGUGCAUGAAAGCUAUUGCAUCUUCUCUCUAUGAUAUAUGA
rnacentral:rRNA from 1 species